rnacentral:rRNA from 1 species
AGGAUGAACGCUGGCGGCGUGCUUAACACAUGCAAGUCGAGGGGGGCCCAGCAAUGGGCAACCGGCGAACGGGUGCGUAACACGUGAGCAACCUACCGAAUUGUGGGGGAUAGCCGGCCCAACGGCCGGGCAAUACCGCAUACGCUCGAGACCAGGCAUUUGGACUCGGGGAAAUUUACGGAGCAUUCCGAGGGGCUCGCGGCCUAUCAGCUAGUUGGUGAGGUAACGGCUCACCAAGGCUACGACGGGUAGCUGGUCUGAGAGGAUGGCCAGCCACAUUGGGACUGAGAUACGGCCCAGACUCCUACGGGAGGCAGCAGUGGGGAAUCUUGCGCAAUGGCCUAAACGGCCGACGCAGCGACGCCGCGUGGAGGGAUGACGCUCUUCGGAGUGUAAACCUCUUUGUCUGAGACGAACUGUCAGUCUUUAGCUGAUUUAGACGGUAUCGGGACGAAUAAGCACCGGCUAACUCCGCGCCAGCAGCCGC